UACAGAGGGUGCGAGCGUUGUCCGGAAUCACUGGGCGUAAAGGGCGUGUAGGCGGCUGGAUAAGCCGCGUGUGAAAUCCCGGGGCUCAACCCCGGAACGGCACGCGGGACUGUUCGGCUAGAGAAUGGUAGAGGCAAGUGGAAUUCCUGGUGUAGCGGUGGAAUGCGUAGAGAUCAGGAAGAACACCAGUGGCGAAGGCGGCUCACUGGCCCGAUACUGACGCUGAGGCACGAAAGCGUGGGGAGCAAACAGG
rnacentral:rRNA from 1 species